rnacentral:tRNA from 1 species
GUCAGGGUGGCCGAGUGGUCUAAGGCGCCAGACUCAAGUUCUCCCUUCCAGCUAUUGGGGCUUCUGGUCUCCAGACGGAGGCUUGGCUUCGAAUCCCACUCCUGACA